rnacentral:rRNA from 1 species
UAGGGAAUCUUCCACAAUGGACGCAAGUCUGAUGGAGCAACGCCGCGUGAGUGAAGAAGGCUUUCGGGUCGUAAAACUCUGUUAUUGAAGAAGAACGUGUGUGACAGUAACUGGUCAUGCAGUGACGGUAUUCAAUCAGAAAGUCACGGCUAACUACGUGCCAGCAGCCGCGGUAAUACGUAGGUGGCAAGCGUUGUCCGGAUUUAUUGGGCGUAAAGCGAGUGCAGGCGGUCUUUUAAGUCUGAUGUGAAAGCCUUCAGCUUAACCGAAGAAGGGCAUCGGAAACUGGGAGACUUGAGUGCAGAAGAGGAGAGUGGAACUCCAUGUGUAGCAG